CCUGGCGGCCUUAGCGCGGUGGUCCCACCUGACCCCAUGCCGAACUCAGAAGUGAAACGCCGUAGCGCCGAUGGUAGUGUGGUGUCUCCCCAUGCGAGAGUAGGGAACUGCCAGGC
rnacentral:rRNA from 1 species